rnacentral:rRNA from 1 species
AGAGUUUGAUCCUGGCUCAGGACGAACGCUGGCGGCGUGCGUAAUGCAUGCAAGUCGAACGCAGCAGCUUCGGCUGGCUGCGUGGCGAACGGCUGAGGAACACGUGGGUAACCUGCCCCGGAGUGGGGGAUACCCCGUCGAAAGACGGGAUAAUCCCGCAUACGCUCUACGGAGGAAAGCCCCUACGGGCGCUCUGGGAGGGGCCUGCGGCCCAUCAGGUUGUUGGUGUGGUAACGGCGCACCAAGCCACUGACGGGUACCCGGUCUGAGAGGACGGCCGGGCAGACUGGGACUGCGACACGGCCCAGACUCCUACGGGAGGCAGCAGCAAGGAAUUUUCCCCAAUGGGCGCAAGCCUGAGGGAGCAACGCCGCGUGGAGGACGACGGCCUUCGGGUUGUAAACUCCUUUCGGGUGGGACGACUCCGACGGUACCACCAGAAGCAGCCCCGGCUAACUCUGUGCCAGCAGCCGCGGUAAGACAGAGGGGGCAAGCGUUGUCCGGAGUUACUGGGCGUAAAGGGCGCGGAGGCGGUCUGCGGCGUCGGCGCUGAAAGCGCCCCGCUUAACGGGGCGAGGCGUGCCGAUACGCGCAGACUUGAGGCGAGCAGAGGGUGGUGGAAUUCCGGGUGGAGCGGUGAAAUGCGUAGAGAUCCGGAGGAACGCCAGUGGGGAAGCCGGCCACCUGGGCUCGGCCUGACGCUGCGGCGCGACCGCGUGGGGAGCAAACCGGAUUAGAUACCCGGGUAGUCCACGCCGUAAACGAUGCCAGCUCGGCGUGAGGCAGCGGUCGUGCGCUGCGUGCCUUAGCUCACGCGAUAAACUACCGCCUGGGGACUACGAGCGCAAGCUUGCAUGCCUGCAGGUCGACUCUAGAGUCCCCUGACCAGCAGACAAG